UACGUAGGGACCAAGCGUUGUUCGGAUUUACUGGGCGUAAAGGGCGCGUAGGCGGCUUAACAAGUCACUUGUGAAAUCUCCGGGCUUAACUCGGAACGGCCAAGUGAAACUGUCAAGCUAGAGUGCAGAAGGGGCAAUCGGAAUUCUUGGUGUAGCGGUGAAAUGCGUAGAUAUCAAGAGGAACACCCGAGGUGAAGACGGGUUGCUGGGCUGACACUGACGCUGAGGUGCGAAAGCCAGGGGAGCAAACGGG
rnacentral:rRNA from 1 species